CUUGUUCGGGUAGAGUGUCAAUGAUGUCAUACUUCCAAGAAAAGCUCGUACACCAUCUUUUUAAGAUAAAACCUUCAAAAAACCUGUACCUGAAACCGACACAGGUAGGUUGGUAGAGAAUACUAAGGGGCGCAAGAGAACUCUCUCUAAGGAACUCGGCAAAUUAGCCCCGUAACUUCGGAAGAAGGGGCGCCCAUGAUUUGAUUAAGGGCCGCAGUAUAAAGAGUCAGGCAACUGUUUACCAAAAACACAGGUCUCCGCAAAGUAGUAAUACAAUAUAUGGGGGCUGACGCCUGCCCAGUGCCGGAAGGUGAAGGAAGUUGGUUAUUUGGGUUUUCCCAGAGAAGCUGACGACCGAAGCCCCGGUGAACGGCAGCUGUAACUAUGACAGUUCUAAGGUAGCGAAAUUCAUUGUCGAGUAAGUUUCGACCUGCACGAAAGGCGUAAUGAUCUGACUACUGUCUCAGAGAGAGACUUGGUGAAAUAGACUUAUCCGUGAAGAUGCGGAUUAACAACAUUUGGACAGAAAGACCCUAUGAAGCUUGACUGUAUCCUGGAAUUGGGUUCGGGCCUUUCUUGCGCAGUCUAGGUGGGAGGCAUUGAAGAUUUCUUUCCGGAGGAAUUGGAGCCAUCAGUGAGAGACCACUCUGGAAAGGCUAGAAUCCUAAGAGUGAUCCCUUAUCGGGACAUUUGACGUUUUCAGGAAGGCAGUUUUUUUGGGGCGAAAGUCCUCCUAAAAGGUAACGGAGGCGCGCAAAGGUUUCCUCAGUCUGGACGGAAAUCAGACGUUACAGAGUGUAAAGGCAAAAGGAAGCUUGACUGCAAGACCUACAAGUCGAGCAGGGGCGAAAGCCGGCCUUAGUGAUCCGACGGUUUCCGUGUGGAAGGGCCGUCGCUCAACGGAUAAAAGUUACUCUAGGAUAACAGGCUGAUCUUCUCCAAGAGUUCACAUCGACGAGAAGGUUUGGCACCACGAUGUCGGCUCAUCACAUCCUGGGGCUGUAGUAGGUCCCAAGGGUUGGGCUGUUCGCCCAUUAAAGUGGUACGUGAGCUGGGUUCAAAACGUCGUAAGACAGUUUGGUCCAUAUCCGAUGUUGUCGUUAGAGCGCUGAGGGGACCCUUAAAUAGUACGAGAGGAUUUUUAAGGUCGUGCCUAUGGUGUAUCAGUUCUCUCUCCAGAGGGAAACGCUGAGUAGCUACGCACGGUUUAGAUAACCGCUGAAAGCAUCUAAGUGGGAAGCUUUCCUCAAGAUGAGCGCUCUCCAUUAUGCCGCAGCUAGACAAGCUGAUGAUAGGUAUCAGGUGAAAGGUCUGUAAGGAUUUGAGCCGAGAUAUACUAAAGGCCAA
rnacentral:rRNA from 1 species